AAAAAUGUGGUAAAAUAGACACCUUUUAAUUGGACCACAUUUUGUCUAUCUCGACGUAGGCCUCAGUGUCAUCAAGGAGACUCUCCUUGACAUGCAGUCACGGCCAUGAUCCAUCUUCAGAGCUUCUCUUUCUUCCCCAAGGAGGCGCUUGGAAACCACCGUGAAUUGGACCGCACUGGGAAACACAGAUGAGGAAAGUCAACAACGCUUUGUCCUUCAGUGCCUGGCUCCUUUUUCAGCUCCUCUUGCGACUCCAGGCAUUAUGCCUGAAAAGUCUCCCGGACGCCUGUGAGGCUCUAAUUCCCUGGGUCCCAUUGCCAUGUCUCUGGAUUUGCGAAGAUCCACCGCACCUUCUGUGGAACUCCCGUGUCGGUGAACUUUAGUGCCACGGCCCCUAAUUCUGCCCAUGGUCAUCCGCACCUGCACGACUUAGGGUCCAUGUUCCUUGGACGGGAAGAGACAGGCAGGAGUCGGAAUGAUGAACCAGCACACUGGGGCGUUUUCUCAUGUAGCCCAAGUGACCCCAUGGUCUUCUCGAGCUUUGGAACCAGUCGCGUCCCCUUUGACACUGCACCCGGCUCCCAGUCUCUCAAUCUUGUUGGCCCUCCGGCGAUCUCCCGUUGGAUGAAUUGCUCCUGCUGAAACUCGAGUCCCCUUUGAUUUGCGCUUCAUUAAUUAUUCAUGAUUCAGGUUGGAAGGCCUGCUGACGACCCCCUGUGGCCGUUCUCUGAGCUUUCCUGUCACAUCGUUUCCUUCCACGCUCUUUGGUUCCUUAUGGUCCUGCUCCUUCUGCUGUCAGAGGAGCAGAGAGUUGAUCUUAUUCAUUCUGGAUACGGAUACUUUCUAGUUGAUCUGGAUAAUCAAGAUAACGACCCUCAACAGCGGCGGAGAGGGAGCAGCCAGUUGGUGUGUCUCAGAAAAUCCCGCUGAGUUCCGAGGCCUCCUAGAUGUGGAAUC
rnacentral:lncRNA from 1 species